AUUGAACGCUGGCGGCAGGCUUAACACAUGCAAGUCGAGCGGAGAGAGGUAGCUUGCUACUGAUCUUAGCGGCGGACGGGUGAGUAAUGCUUAGGAAUCUGCCUAUUAGUGGGGGACAACAUUUCGAAAGGAAUGCUAAUACCGCAUACGUCCUACGGGAGAAAGCAGGGGAUCUUCGGACCUUGCGCUAAUAGAUGAGCCUAAGUGGGAUUAGCUAGUUGGUGGGGUAAAGGCCUACCAAGGCGACGAUCUGUAGCGGGUCUGAGAGGAUGAUCCGCCACACUGGGACUGAGACACGGCCCCGACUCCUACGGGAGGCAGCAGUGGGGAAUAUUGGACAAUGGGCGGAAGCCUGAUCCAGCCAUGCCGCGUGUGUGAAGAAGGCCUUAUGGUUGUAAAGCACUUUAAGCGAGGAGGAGGCUACUUUAGUUAAUACCUAGAGAUAGUGGACGUUACUCGCAGAAUAAGCACCGGCUAACUCUGUGCCAGCCGCCGCCGUAAUAC
rnacentral:rRNA from 1 species